GCUAAUGGACACCUAUCCUAACCAGUCUAGGGAAGGGCUUGGAGCUGAAUGAAGGAAGAGAUGAAGAUGAGCCACAGCAACCAAGAGCAGGAAGCUGAAGAAGAAUACAAAGGGAGAGGACAGUCCAAGCGCUUUGUCCCUUACCCUCAUCGCUGAUCAGAGAGAAGAGAGCAACAUUAAACAAACUUACAGUAUUGAGACACCAUGAAACCAGUGCCUAACCAAGGGAGAUAGAGACAGAGUCUGCUGGUGUUUGUCUGGUUCUUCUCUUCAGGGAGAAAUAAGAAGCAAAGAAAUAAAAGUUGUUUGAGCUCUUGUUGGCCACAAAGGUGAAGACUUCAAGGGAGUUGUUCUUGCAGAAUGGCAGACAGACAACACGUGCAAUCACUAACCUAGCAAAAGAGUGAGCCAGAUAUGCUGAAUGGCACAGCACCUGUUUUCUAAGACACAUGCAGCUGCUUCUCCAUUACCGGCACUGUGGUGCAAAGCAAUUUCUCUCCAAGCUAACUGCCAGGACUUGGCUCUCAAAGGAUGGAGGAAUCAUGGGAUGCCAGAAGGACAACUGGCAAGUCUGUCCUCAAAUCCCAGGCUUCCUGCACCCAGCAGAGCAGCACAGAAAAAAGCCCCCUACUAUCCAGAAAUCACUGGUGGGACUCACCAGCCCAGCAUUCCCAGCCUGAAUACUGCUACCUUGUCCAAAAGUGGUGGCUGCCUCGGGCAUGGAUGGUUGGGGAGGGAUGUGGAAACAGCUGCUGUGCCGAUACAGCUGCUUUGGAGCGGCACCCAAAAUCCCAGCCCAGAUCAACACCCUGGUCACCCCCUCCUUUGUAAACAAGCUUUUGAGCACCUGCUCUGAGGUCUAAAAUUGGACUGUUUCUGGUCCUGAAAUACUCCUAUGGAAAAGAGCUGUGUGAUUCUCUAAGGAAAGCUCUCAGCUCUAUUAAAAUGCUAAGCCAGACUAAAGCAACUUCAGAUCACCGGUCCUGGACAAAGAUUUGUCAUAUGAAGACAGGAAAGAAAAUGGUAGCCAAAGUAAUCCCAGGAAAAACACAAUGAAGGUUUGCAGAUUCCAGUGCAGUAGCUAAAUCAACAUGUUGUUUUGCCAAGAAAACAUUGUGAAAUCUGCGGGUUACUCUUUGAUCCUAAGCCUUCCUUACCCAUCUAUUCAUAAGCAGUAUCAUUAGACAGAAAUGAUUGUAAAACUAAGAUUGGUUAGUCGGUGAACUUCUGAUAAUAAACAGAUUGUUUUGUCAUGUCACGGCUGGUUACUAGACUUUUCUGGCAUACAUCAAUAUGGUACUGAACCCUGAAGAAAAAAUGGAAGAUGUAAAAUAUUACAUAUGGUAUGAUAGGCUUUCUUGGCCUUUUUUAUUAACAUUUUUAUGUAUAGGAGACAAUAUUUUGUAAUUUUAAAAGGGGAGGAGAACUGAAAUGAGGAACAGGUCAUUACUGUAGGCAGGAAGCAAUAAAAAGGCAAAUACAUGUCUCAUUUCUUUUGAUGUUUGCUAUAUUUAUAUUAUUUAUAUUUUUUUCCUUAAAAUUAAAUAAACCUAAUAAUGGUCAUCUUUUUUCUAACACAGAAAUACACUAACGAGUAUGAAAUUCUGAAGCUCUUCUGUCUUUCCCCAGGGCAGAUAUCAUGGAAAUGGAAGUUUCACUGGAAUUCUCCAUUCUUUUUUUAAUGGGAAAAUUAAAUCUUUUAAAAUCAAUAUCGAUUGGCAGAAAAAUUAAAGUAGCAUUUCUAAAGUUAAAACUCUAAAAUUAGAAGU